AGCGAACGCUGGCGGCAGGCCUAACACAUGCAAGUCGAACGAACCUUUCGGGGUUAGUGGCGGACGGGUGAGUAACACGUGGGAACGUGCCUUUAGGUUCGGAAUAACUCAGGGAAACUUGUGCUAAUACCGAAUGUGCCCUUCGGGGGAAAGAUUAAUCGCCUUUAGAGCGGCCCGCGUCUGAUUAGCUAGUUGGUUGAGGUAAUGGCUCACCAAGGCGACGAUCAGUAGCUGGUCUGAGAGGAUGAUCAGCCACAUUGGGACUGAGACACGGCCCAAACUCCUACGGGAGGCAGCAGUGGGGAAUCUUGCGCAAUGGGCGAAAGCCUGACGCAGCCAUGCCGCGUGAAUGAUGAAGGUCUUAGGAUUGUAAAAUUCUUUCACCGGGGACGAUAAUGACGGUACCCGGGGAAGAAGCCCCGGCUAACUUCGUG
rnacentral:rRNA from 1 species